AUUUGCAGCCUUCGGAGCCAUCUGAAGGCGCUGCCUUCACCUUGUGAUCUCCUCGGCUGAAUGAAUAUGUCAGGAUCGGUCCUUUCAAACCCGGCCCCAGUUCGAACACAGCCCUGCAGUCCGUCUGGGCACGGUUAGAUCCUUCCUCCCUCAGCCUCCCCCUCCGUAUCACAGGGGGAAUAAAAUGCUCAGCUGUCAGCUGCUGAAAGGCCAGUCCAAGACCGAGGCAAGGACCUUUAGCUCCUUCAGCUCCGUGUGCAGGUGCCCACGCAGCCAGGGUGCUCUAGGCUUGAUGCAUCGUCUUUCGACAGACACAGGGCAAACUCUGCUCCUCCCUUCUGGCCUGGGUUGCAAUGAUGGAUUAAGUAGGGCAGAGUAGCAGGAGUCCUGGUGCAAACAAUGCUUUUGAAGCGAACCCGUGGACAACUUUGCUUGCAGGUGGAAGAGGUUGCUGGUGACAGGAAUUCUCCAUCCAGGACCUCUGAAGUGAGCAAAGACAAGCUGCCUUGUUCUACCCUGUGAAGGUUUAGCUGCUGGAGGAUGCGUUUUGUGUGGUCCACGGGGCAAAAAAAAAGAGAAGAAAAGCUGCAAAGCUUUGCAGAUGAAGAGGGCCAUGAUGGGUAAUCGGGUUGUUUCAGUGAGGGCAGCAAUAGCAGGGGAGCAGCAGUUGGUGGGGAUGGUCUGGAGUGUGUCUGCAGAGCUGUGGAGCAGAGGAGAAAGUGUGUCAUGAAGCUGAAUGUCUCCUUGAGAGUGAGCAACACACCAGCAAGAAGAUUGUAACCCUAAUUUUGUCUCUCCAUUUUUUUAUCAGGAGGUCUCCAAGCAUUUUAAAAAGGAAGCUAACACCACAUAAUGGAAAACUUUGCAUCUUCGGGCUUCAGUGACUGGUUUGGAGCCAGCCAGAGAAACCUGUGAGUGCUGAGCCCUCAUCCUCACUUCCCAAACACUCGGCACUCCAGACCUUGGCCUCUCUCCCAGGCCCCCGUGCUCACCAGACUGAUGUUGGAGAGCUCACUGGAGGCCAGUCUUGUCCCCCAGGGUGGAGGCAGGACAUGUUGCCUCCUGUGGCCACUGCCAUCAGCUGGAGUGGCUCUGGGAGGGAGGAUGCUGGCACAUCAAGUGGCCCUUCAAAGUGAGGUUGAAUUUAUAGGGGUGCACACUGGUCCCAGUUUGUGAGGCUCCUGCCCUGCCCUCUCUCAGCGUUUGGGGAGGAGUUCACUUAGAAUUUCAAAACAUGUGGUGCUUUUUCUUGUUUUUUUUGCCCAGCACCACUAAGUGUCGAGUUGAAGGGAAAUACAAUACAUCACCUUCCUCGUGGGCUGCCAUUCAGCCAGGAGUAACAGAGAUUAGCCUUCAAUCACACGGGGGGCCAGAGCUGAGGGAAACCUUCCCGAGGACACGCCGGAGAAACAUUUUCAUUAGUGGAGGAGAAGCUGAUGGAGAUGGAGUGGCCCUUCACCUCAGCUGCCAGACCUCUCGCCUGCCUGGCGUUAACAGGACGGGGGAGAUGCUAAUGGAGGAGCUGGUGCCAGCUGCAAGUCUUUAAGUGCUGUCUGCAUCCAGAUAUCGUUCUCUCUCAGGGGCUGCCUGUGGUGCUGCAUUAACAUCCCACCUCUGUGGUGAAGAAACAAUGGUGAUAUAACAGAGACCGAAAUGAAAUCCUCCUUGGAGUUGCCAAGAAUGAUGGAUAACUGCAAGAAAAUAUUAUUCUAUGGCUCUGGAAAAGGAAGAUCUACUCGCUUAGUAACCUGGCGCCUGAUUCGGGACACAGCGACUGUCCCCUCCUGCCACCGGCUCCUGGGAGGAGCCAGAUGCCUGCCUGCAACCAGGCAAGGAUGGAGCAGGGACCGUGGAGCGGCGAGGAGGAAGAAAGGCGAGCGACGGCAGAUUCCUCCGGCAUCUCCACGCCGCGGGGCUCUUGGCGAGCGAGUGCUCGUCUGCUUUGAAAGCUCUUAGUGCUCCUGCAGGUGGGAGCCAAUUUGUCUGCUUUCCUGCCCAGGUGCCAUCUGUUUGUAGGAUUGCCUGUGUGGUGGAUGAGCACGACGGGGAUGGCGGAGGGAAAGGGCUGCUGGGCUGGGAGAGAUGAGCCUAAAACUUUCCUUGGGUAUCUUCAGCGCUUCUGGCUGCCGUUGUUCCCUCUCCCCUGCGUCGCAGCGGGGAAAUCGCAGCCUGUCAUUUGCUGUUCCUGGAGCGUGGAGGGGAGCUGAGGCACUGCUAAUAGCAAACUAUCAUUCUAAUGCUAAUUUCCUACCAUUAGCUCAGGCUGGGGGAGGCUCAGCCUGGGUGGAGGGAAGCCAUUAGCAGAUGGAGAAAGGGGGAGAUGUGCUCGGAUUUGUUCUGCACCCCCAGAGGGGAUUUUCAGAGGGCAGAUGAUUAACCACCAUUGGGCAAACCGGUAACACGAGCUAGGUUCAGUCUCUGGCGGACGUGGGAGGAAGGGAGAGGAUGCUUUGUUCCAAGUUGUCCUUCCUUUAGGGACUUCCCGAGUGCUUCAGGCUUUGACUUGAGUUUGGUGUCAGCUGCUUUGUUCCAGCCCUCGUGUGCUGUGACCCAAGGGAAGCUCAGAGCGCUGGCAGGGCUGCAGCUGGGGGCAUCGAUGUCCUUUCAACAAAGGAGCCAAGCAGGGUUGGGUUUAACUGCUGUCUUUUUGGGAGGAGCUCUUCCCCGUUCAGGAGCCCGGACAUCCGUGUUUGGUGGCAGGCUUCGAAGCAGGGAAAUUUUGAAUCCAGCCUUGAGAUACCCAGGAGCUGAAAAAGAAACCUGUCCUUUUGCCAUGGGAACAAACCCAGCUGCCCCAGGCUGGAGAGCUGUCAGCAGGAAACCAGGGGCUGAGUUUGGAGUUGUGAAGGAAAAUGAACUAUUUCCCUGCCCUUUCUAGAGGUGGGCGUGCCUACAUCCAGCCUCUUCAUCAGUCUCCUCUAGACAAGUGGAGGAGCCCGUGCUGCUCCCCGGACUGGUGUAGGUGCCUGGGAGCUUCUGGGGUGUCUGAAGAAGGUGAUUUGCUACGGGAGGACUGUAGGGCCUGUUUGGAAUUCUUUGGGCAACAGUUGAAGAGGUUCCUCUACCAUUUCUAGACCAGCUUGGAAACCUUCAGGGAUGCAAACUGUGCCUGGCUGGGAAGAAACUGGUUGCCUGCUACUGAGGGACAGCGCUGUUUGAAGGCAAGGGCCCAGUAGUGUCCUGAUCUGUGGUGUGACACACCUCCUCAAGACCCAGCAGCCUGUCUGUGGUGAUCUGGCUUCAUCAUUUCAUAGGGAAGCAUACUAGGUUUUUUUUUUUUAAACCCACUUAAAGAUGGUUUUAAAACCCUUGUCAUCUAGCAGAGAUGCAGUGGAGGGACAAAACCAGCCACAAUAAACCAGGAGCUGGUUAAAUGGCAAAGGGGGAGAAAUGCAAGAAGGGACUAUCCUGCCAGGAGGACAAUAGCACAAGGCUCCAUUAGCAGAACAUCAGUGCUCACUGUGGUUACCAGCUAUCAGAUCCAUCCUGGUGUGGAGCAUGACUCACUCUUGUUUAAGAAGCUAUUUCCAUCUGAAAAAAAAAAAAAAAAAAAAAGGCUCCUGCCUUUUCGAGGGGCUCUUCCAUGCCUUGUUUGAAGAGAGGAGCAAAAAAGUGAAGGGCUACUUUUUCCUAGUCAAGGAGGCUCAAACAAACUUUCCCUCAAGUAGCUGAGCAAGGAAAUCAGCACGUUAUGUGUUCUCAAGAAUAAUACAAUCAAAGUAGUGGUGGGGGAAAAGAAGAGUAAGAAUAAAAUAGCAUUGCUUUUCCCAGUUCAGCACUUUGAAUAAUGAGCCUUACAAGGCAGAGGGAGAGCUCCCAGGAGAGGAGCUGUGUACGGGAGAUGGACGCAACAAGUGUCUCAGGUGGGCCGGGAUCUGAAGCGAUCUCUCUCUAAUUUUCUACAUCAGUGAGAACACAGCACAGCACCAUCAAUCACAGUCAACCUCCCCUCAAAAGCCACCUCCUGCCUCUCCAUAUGGCAGGUCCCCCUCUGCUCCUGUCCCUGCUGGGGACCACAGGUGUCCCGGACAGCAGCGCUGCCGGCACCUUCCCUCACAGGAGGGUUCUUCCUCCUCGUGUUUUGAGCCUGCUUGUGUUUCUGCCUUUCUCCUUCUUCCUCCCCCAGCACCUGUUCCUUGCCAGUGCUUCGUUUCCAGAUGUGUCUCCCUCUCCUGGAGUCAGGAAAGCCCAAAUACUCCUUUAACCCCCCAUGAGGAGAAGGUGUGGAACUGCUUGUCCUGGUAAAACCUCUAUGUGCUCCCAGGGGCAGGGGUGGGUGUGGUUUUGGUGCCUUUACUGCUCACCUGGGGCUGGGGAGGUGGGACUUUGCAGCUCCCCUGAGGCCAUCAGGGCAUGUUUUGGGGAUUGCUGGUUCUGGGACUGGCUCCUUCUCCCCAGCUCUGGGCAUGGAGCACCUAAAGGGGUCAUCUUUCAUGCUGGGCUGGUGGUGUGAUGCAGCAGCUUCUGGUCCCUCAUUUCUCCUUCUGUGAAGUCCUUUCUGCUCCUUCCUGGCCCGGCCAGGUGUUUCCACCAGACCAGGAGCAGGAGCACUGGGGAUGGGGCUCCUCCUGGGCAGGCCCAGGCCAGGCACACUUCUAGGCUGGCCAGAGGGCUGGUGGGAUGGGGGUCUGUGCUUGUGGCUGUUCCUUCUGCUGGAGCAUGGACACAUCUGGUGGGUUCGGUGCCUCCUGCUUCUUCAUCUCUCUCACAUGCUCUUGCUCAGCUGUGGUGGUUCUCAGACCUACCAAAACCUGGUUGAGUGUCGUGACACAAACGUGGCUUUACAACCCUGUUUCUGGCUUCAUGGGCAAAAGCACCAGCUAGAAAACCAAGGACUGAGCUUCUUUCUUGAGCACAGCCCUAGAGAGGAGCAUCUUCUGAAUUGCCACCUCCCUCUCAGCCUCUUCACUGGCUUCUGAGAGCUGCAGAGCAUCCUUGACCUCUGUCUCAGGCACGGUUUCCUGCAUGUAUCAGCCCUGCUCUGGUGUUGUGGAGCUAUUGCUGGCAUCUGUAAUAGCUGCGUUGUUUACUUCCCAAGUGCCUGCCCUUUCUGUAAUGAGCUGUAAUUCAUCCUGGUUUAUACCGGGCUCAGAGAUACCUGGAACAAGGAGGGUGUGCCAUUAAACCACCUUCUAGGCUGUUCCCUGGACCUGGGAUUGCUGAUCUCCUGGAGAUGUAAAACAAGGAGGACAAGGGGGACCAGAUGGAAAUGGGGAAUAAUUACCUUGCAGGGUUUUUACCCAGGGCUGGCUGGGUUGGCAACUGCUGUGAGCUGCCACGCAGGUGCAGAUGGAUGGUUACGGCACACAGGGCAGAGGGAUGAAAGAUGCCUUUUUAAAGCAUCUGCCUUCCUCUCUUCCUCUGCUUUAUAACCUGUUUUUAUAGAGACUGCACGAGGAGCACAUUUUUUUUAUUAGCAGCUUGGGAGU